GGCAUAUAACUAAAUGAAACAAACCUCCUUGAGGAAUCUUGUACUGUUUCUCCCCCUCUUUUCUUAGCUUAGAUAGGAGGUAGUGGUGAUAAAAAUUCCCAGUUAUUCCUACUAAGAAUGUCGCUGUUCCAGCGUGUUUCAGAUCGAUUAUUGGCUCCUUGAAUUCUGCUGCUAAAUGCUGAGAGUAGAUCACGCUAACCGCAAAUAAAAAGUAACUGCCGGAGAUGAUAAUUACUGUAUCUAAGGGCAUGCUUCCGCUGUACUUGUGGAUGAAUAACACCUGUACACAGACAUGUUCAACUUUUGUUUCAAUAUUUUUGGUAAAGAAUAUGGAACAAGAAACUUGAGAUGUUUCUUAGUUUAUACUAUAAAAGGUAAAAACUAUGUGGUUUCCAGAAAAAUAGUGAAAAACUAAAACAGUUAUAAUAAAACUGUUCUUUUGCCGUCUAACAAACACUAACAACCACUUUUGACAGAAAAUUUUUAUCAGCUAGUUUAAUCUCAUAAAUAAUGAUGAAUUUCUAUAUGCACGAAAAUCUCCACCGACCAAAAUCAGUCACAAGCACAAAAAGUAAUUAUACACAAAAAGUAAUUCUUCCCAAAUUAAAGAGCCUGUUAUAAAACAAGGGUAGAGAAUUGUUGCAUACCUCAAAAAGUCUCUUGAAGAAAUGAACGGCAACAGCAGAAGUAAGCAACGUAAACCUGAGACCCUGAUUUUGCAUCAAAGCUAAAGCGGCAACAGCAGCAACAAAAGCCGGGAAAUAGGCCAGGAGCAUUCCAUUUCUACCAGAAAACUCGAUCAUCUUACUUUUGACAUUCUUCUUGCUAGUGUUGAAGAUCUUUGAAUAGUGCAUCAUGCUACUCCCGCUUAUUUCCAUUAAUCCAGCAAUAACUAAAGAUACAAUACUCACCAUUGACAUGGCCGUUAAAAACACUGAUUCUGGCGGUGGGUAGAUAAAUCUCAGUAAUGUAGACGACACCAUUAUUUGUGCAGAAAAUAGAAAUUGUAGAGAGAGAUGCUUGUUGUGGGAGGUACUCGUUCAACAUAUAUGAAUUAUGAAGCAUUCUUGUAAAUUAUUAAGUGGAUAGGAUGCUGUAUUUUUGUGAUCCAUAAUUGUACUAAACUUUAUUUAAAAUAAUGCAAUGCUAGGGUCCGAUAUUCAAGAAGCGUUACAUCUUUUAGUAGUGGAGUACAUGUGCAUCGAGUCCACUUGCGUUAUGAAAAAAGUUUAUAUUUAAAAAUGUGAAUAAUGAAUUCGGCAUUUAACCUGGUUAUAAAAGUUUAUGUUAUAAUUUUUUAAUUUAAUUGCCAAUAAAUUUUUAAUUAUUUAUAUUUAAAUUUUAUUUAUAAAUAAUUUGAAACAUAAUUAUUCAUUAAUUAUUUAGAUCAUUCAAAUACAACCAUCAUUAAGAUUUGUUUUGCAGAAUAUAAUAUCUUGCGAUUUAUAAAAACUAUCAUUCUAUCUUUUAAUUAUAAUGAUUGUGUUGUAACAUAUUCGAUAAUUAAGUUAUCGGUGUUUAAAAUAUUAUUGAACACCAAAAAAUAAAAUUUAAAUAAAUAUAUUAUGUUAUAUUAUAUUUUAUUUUAUAAUACUCCUGACUCCAUAAAACUUGGAUCUUAAGAACUUCAUUAAAACAUAUUAAGAAUAUAUGACAUUUCAUAUUAACUAUAUAUUAAAAUUAUUAAAUUCAUUUCAAAAAUUUAAAGGCCAACAUGACAAUCAUCGCGAGCACAAAGCAAACAACAAAAAGCUCGAUCAACAUUAUUUGAAGAAAAUUGUGGUAGUACUCAAUUAAUGAUUUGUUUAAAAAAUUUAAUUAAAUAAUUGCUAGUAAAAACUAUAUAUUGAAAAGGAACCUUGAAUAAACAAAAACCUUACAAAAAAUGCAUCGUACACGACUGUACAUAUUUGAAAAGAAAGUCAAUUAUUUGAUAUAAUAUUGUUACAAAUUGUUUCCUCUAAUAUGCAAAUGCUUAAUGCUCCGAGCCUCUAAUGUGCAAAUGAAGUGGCGGGCUGAUAUUACGAAAUGUUAGGCAAGACAAUAGUAUACACUAAUUUAUUAUUUAACGUUUUGAUUUUGACAAAUAUUUUUGACCGGCAACAUCAAAUAAUAAAACGAAUUUUCUAUGGUGUGCCCAUGGGCACACAAUAGUCACUAACUCUCAUGAGAAUACUAACUUUUGAUUGGUGGAUGGAUAUUAAAUGUUAAUGGCCCCCCUGUAUUUACACCAAUUCCACCAAUCAAAUUAAGUCAUUUUCAUGAAAGUUGGUGCUUAGCAUGUGCCCAUGGGCACACACUAGAAAAACCGAUAAUAAAAAACAGAGACAAAACUAUUGACUAUCGAGGACCGUGACCACUGACCAGAAUCUUGAGGAUUGUCCCUCGCCACUCCCUAGUGAUCCUUAUCAUUGAUUUCCACUUAUCCUUAUUUUACGAAAGUGUCUCUUGGCAGUGCAUUCUUUUGUGAUAAUUCACGUCCUAGAGUCAUUUUCGAAAAUUGUUUCAUGCCUACUUAUUUUACAAAAGUUCAGAUAUAUGACUCCUUGAGAUUGUGCUAUACUAUAUUGACCCGCUGUGAGUUCUAUAAAGAUUUGGAUCAGUUCACACUUCUGAGUUUGUAUAACAUGAAACACAUUGAGCCCAAUAACAUAUUUGAUGAUUCACAAAUUAUCAUAGCGCAUAAAUGAUCACACGAUGCAUAUAUUCACCAGCUGUGAUUAUACUUACAAAAUUGAAUAAAUUAUACUACUGUGUUCAAUCCUUACAACAUUAAGCUUAUUAUUCUAAAGAAAUAGUCACCAUCAUUGCUAAAAUUUUCAUCAUCUUCUAUCGUUGGCAGCUCAGGAUUUCUAGAUUUCUUUGCUAGAGGAUCCUCCGCACAACACUAUGUUACCUAGAUAUAAAUCUUUCGUGGAAGUGCGGAGAACUUGUUCUCUAGACAGGUUUAGGCUGCAAAAAGAGUUAGAGCAGCUAGUCUGACGGUCAAGAAAUUUCAGAUAUUAUUUGGUUCGGUUUGUCUAGUGUAUGCCCAUAGACACAUGCUACGCGUGAAAAUUUUUGUAUUUGGAUCAUUUUGAUUGGUGUAUAUGCAGGGGAUCCACCAUUAUUAAGAAGUAGAAGCUAGCCAAUCAAAAUGAUCCAAAGAAAAAAAAUUUGGUGCUUAGCAUGUACUCAUAGGCACACAAUAGAAAAUCGUAAUUGGUUUGAGCAGAAAUCUAAAGACUCAAUGAGACUAAUGUUUCCCAGUGAGGACGGGAAAUGACCUUUAGAAAUACAGAGAGUUGGUCAUGACUAUACAUGAAUAAAACUUAAUAUCAAAUUAAUUAUCUAAUAAUAUAUAUAAUUUGUAUAAAUAUAUGAAAUAUAAAGCUCAUUCAUAGUUGAAAAUUUUAAGAGUAAAUUUUAAGGGCGUGGCUACAUUUUACAUCGAUUCACAGAAAUAUGACUGGAUUUUAAAAUUGCAGAAAUGUGGCUGAGGUUCGACUCCGUUUUUUAAAACUUUGGCUCACGUUAAAUCCAUCAUAACGGAUCUAAGAGCAAGUCCAAUAGGUGUGCUAAAUCAAGUCUUAAAUCCAAAAAUAGGGAAUAUGGGAUAAAAUUGCACUCCAACACUAUGCUAGUGAUGUGCUAAAUCACUAGCACAAACCUUCCAUUCCCUAUUUUUAGAAUAUGCUAGCCACUUCUAAACUAUUUUUAUCAUUAAAAUAUUCAUUUCUCUCUCUCCCCCACAUCAUUUCCCUCUCUCCUCCACUAUGAAGUUGUUUAAAUUUAAUAUUAUUAUAAUAAUAGGGAAUGGAUAUAGGGAGUACUAUUGGAGCUCAUGUGCUAAAUCACGUGCUAAAUCACUAAGACAUAUUAUUUUAUAAUAUUUUUAGGGAACCUCUUAGCAUAGUGUUGGACUUGCUCUAACGGAGCAAAGGGUAUUUGUGGGUUUUAUGAAAUGCUCCGUCAGUUGUUCAAACGCAGAAACUCGAUCCAUAAUCAUGGCUAGAUGAGUAGAGAAUUCAGUAUCUGUCUUUUUCAAGAACCCGUACUCAAGCGGCUCUGUACAUGCAAUCGAUUUAAUUAAGCUUAAUAGGAUGGGUUGCUCGUACUUUGUGGACUAAUCAUUUGUGUUUUGUGACAAAUGAUUUAUAUAUUCUGAGUCUUGUUUGGAGGAGCAAAUUGUUUCAACAUCUCAUACAAAUCUUCUAUAUUCUCUGUUCUUCUAGCUUCUUGUAGAUCUGGAAACCUCGUGUCAUUCUGAGAGACAGUGGUGAAGUGUGUGUGAAUGUUUGAGGGUUGUGUGCAGGCUGUCAGACUGGAGAGGCUCUGUAGCAACGGUGGCGAAAAUGAAGAAGGAAAGAGAGAGAGGAAAAACACCGGAAUGAGGGGGAUGAGAUGGAGAUGAUUGUGGGUGUGUAUAUGAAGUGUAUUGGAUCUGUGUGCUAGCCUGCUAAGUGAAGUGUGCGCGCCGCGAAUAAAGCCCACCGUCAACAACGGUGGAGGUUGAGGGAGACUACCCAAAUAUUCUGCUUUUUUUGGUUUUACGUAAUUACCCCUAUCAGUUUAUGUUUUUCAAGUGAGUUAACAGUUAAAAAGUAAGGGACUGACGAUAACCAAAGUUUUAAAAGACGUAGUCGAACCUCGGCCACAUUUUGUAAAAUUUAAAAUCCAGCCAAAUUUUUGCAAAUCAAGUGUAAAAUACAGCCACACCCUUGAAAUUUACUCAUUUUUUAAUUAAUACUAAUUUUUCAAAUAUAUUUUUUAAUUAUAACCCCAUAAUUCAAAUAUUUAUAAUUAAACAGACGCAUUUUUUGUAUAAAAUUUGUAUUAGAAAUAAUAACUAGCAAAAUUAACUUAAUAUACACAUAUUCUAUACAAUGCAAGUUAUUUUUAUGAGAAAUAAUAAAUAGUAAAAUCUCUACAAGAACACUUUGGUUUUACGAGGGAUCUCAACCUUUCAGAUCACAAUGAGUUGUCAUCUUAUUAUUGACUUUUCUCUCAUAAACAUUAUGAUCCUUCGUGUAUGUAUAAUAACAACACAAAUCAUAAUUUUCCAUGUGUUAUUUUGAAAGGUUUUUGGGUUGUCUGGUAUUUGGGUUAUUAGGCUAAACAUAAUUAAACUGACUCCCAACUUGCAAUUGAGUUACUGAACUGAAAAAACUUGUAUUUAGAUAAUUUGAUUGAAAGAAAUUACAGUUGACUAAAAUUAAAAAAAAUUAGCGACUAUGUAAGCUCUUUUUUAUUUAACAAUGUUCAGCAAGUUAAUAUCGGUUCAGUUGAUCGACUGCAAAUUGUUAUCCAAGUGCAGUUUUGGGGUAUGAUUUAGCUUAUUAAUCCUAUGAGAAAUGGGACGGUAACGGAAAUUAAUUAUUUUCCCUGCAAAAAUAUGAAGGCAGAUUGUGUUGGAAGAGGGAGUUGGAUUUAUGAGUUGGUGAAUUCAAACUCAACGGCCUUCAAUAUCUAAACAUAGAUUCGUUCGAAUAUGAUCAGAAUUGUUCAAAGAGAAAAUAAAUACAGGAUAAACAUUCUGUAUCUUUUACAGUUACUAAAGAACCACGCUACAUUCUCCAAAUGGCUUUUAACAGUCUUACAAGCCAUUUAGAUACUGGUAUUUCUAUGUUCGAUCUAGAAAACAUACGGAAUGAGCGCCUUUAUAUCUUUUGGGAAGUCUUCAAAUUUCGAGAGGUACCAUUUUCUUGUUGCAUAACUUCUCCCAGUCAAGUAAGCAGAUGAACCAAAGGUGAAAGAUAAUGCAUAUACAGUUUGCGAAAUGCAGGAGAUUCCGAUGAAUCCUAUAAUUUCGAAUAAAUAAUGUGGGCAUAUAACUAAAUCAAACAAACCUCCGUGAGGAAUCUUGUACUGUUUCUCCCCCUCUUUUCUUAGCUUAGAUAGGAGGUAGUGGUGAUAAAAAUUCCCUGUUAUUCCUACUAAGAACGUCGCUGUUCCAGCGUAUUUCAGAUCGAUUAUUGGCUCCUUGAAUUCUUCUGCUAAAUGCUGAGAGUAGAUCACGCUAAC
rnacentral:lncRNA from 1 species